rnacentral:rRNA from 1 species
UCGAGCGGGUUUAUCCUUCGGGGUAAGCUAGCGGCGGACGGGUGAGUAACACGUAGGUAACCUGCCUAUAAGAUCGGGAUAACUAUCGGAAACGAUAGCUAAGACCGGAUAAUUGGUUUUCUCGCAUGAGAGAAUUAUGAAACACGGAGCAAUCUGUGGCUUAUAGAUGGGCCUGCGGCGCAUUAGCUAGUUGGUAGGGUAACGGCCUACCAAGGCGACGAUGCGUAGCCGACCUGAGAGGGUGAACGGCCACACUGGGACUGAGACACGGCCCAGACUCCUACGGGAGGCAGCAGUAGGGAAUCUUCCGCAAUGGACGCAAGUCUGACGGAGCAACGCCGCGUGAGUGAUGAAGGUUUUCGGAUCGUAAAGCUCUGUUGCCCUAGACGAACAGCAAGGAGAGUAACUGCUCUUUGUGUGACGGUAUAGGAGAAGAAAGCCCCGGCUAACUACGUGCCAUCAUCCGCGGUAAUACGUAGGGGGCAAGCGUUGUCCGGAAUUAUUGGGCGUAAAGCGCGCGCAGGCGGUCAAUUAAGUUGGGUGUUUAAGCCCGGGGCUCAACCCCGGUUCGCAUCCAAAACUGGUUGACUUGAGUGUAGGAGAGGAAAGUGGAAUUCCACGUGUAGCGGUGAAAUGCGUAGAGAUGUGGAGGAACACCAGUGGCGAAGGCGACUUUCUGGCCUAUAACUGACGCUGAGGCGCGAAAGCGUGGGGAGCAAACAGGAUUAGAUACCCUGGUAGUCCACGCCGUAAACGAUGCAUACUAGGUGUUGGGGAUUCGAUUCCUCGGUGCCGAAGUUAACACAGUAAGUAUGCCGCCUGGGGAGUACGCUC